rnacentral:misc_RNA from 1 species
UCUCCGUUGGUGAACCAGCGGAGGGAUCAUUACAGGACUCGCAAGACUCCUACAACCCUGUGAACUUAACUAUAAGCACGUUGCUUCGGCGGGUGUCUCGGAGGGGGUUCUCCCUCCCCGACACGCGAAACCCGCCGGCAGCCUACUAUACUCUGUCUCUUUGCGUUGGCAUCUCGAGUACAAUCAAACAAGUUAAAACUUUCAACAACGGAUCUCUUGGUUCUG